rnacentral:rRNA from 1 species
GAUGAACGCUGGCGGCGUGCCUAAUACAUGCAAGUCGAGCGAACGGACGAGACGCUUGCUUUUCGGAUGUUAGCGGCGGACGGGUGAGUAACACGUGGAUAACCCACCUAUAAGACUGGGAUAACCUCGGGACACCGGCGCUAAUACCGGAUAAUAUUUUGAACGGCAUGGUUCAAAAGUGAAAGACGGUCUUGCUGUCACUUAUAGAUGGAUCCGCGCUGCAUUAGCAAGUUGGUAAGGUAACGGCUUACCAAGGCAACGAUGCAUAGCCGACCUGAGAGGGUGAUCGGCCACACGGGAACUGAGACACGGUCCAGACGCCUACGGGAGGCAGCAGUAGGGAAUCGGCCGCAAUGGGCGAAAGCCUGACGGAGCAACGCCGCGUGAGUGAUGAAGGUCUUCGGAUCGUAAAACUCUGUUAUUAGGGAAGAACAUAUGUGUAAGUAACUGUGCACAUCUUGACAGUACCUAAUCAGAAAGCCACGGCUAACUACGUG